rnacentral:rRNA from 1 species
UGGGGAAUAUUGGACAAUGGGCGCAAGCCUGAUCCAGCAAUGCCGCGUGUGUGAAGAAGGCCUUCGGGUUGUAAAGCACUUUUAUCAGGAGCGAAACGCUGUCGGCUAAUACCCGGCGGAACUGACGGUACCUGAGGAAUAAGCACCGGCUAACUUCGUGCCAGCAGCCGCGGUAAUACGAAGGGUGCAAGCGUUAAUCGGAAUUACUGGGCGUAAAGCGUGCGUAGGCGGUUUCUUAAGUCUGCUGUGAAAUCCCCGGGCUCAACCUGGGAAUGGCAGUGGAUACUGGGAGGCUAGAGUGUGUCAGAGGGUGGUGGAAUUCCCGGUGUAGCGGUGAAAUGCGUAGAGAUCGGGAGGAACAUCAGUGGCGAAGGCGGCCACCUGGGACAACACUGACGCUGAGGCACGAAAGCGUGGGGAGCAAACAGGAUUAGAUACCCUGGUAGUCCACGCCCUAAACGAUGCGAACUGGAUGCUGGUCUCAACUCGGAGAUCAGUGUCGAAGCUAACGCGUUAAGUUCGCCGCCU